AGUGAACGCUGGCGGUAGGCCUAACACAUGCAAGUCGAACGGCAGCACAGUAAGAGCUUGCUCUUACGGGUGGCGAGUGGCGGACGGGUGAGGAAUACAUCGGAAUCUACUUUUUCGUGGGGGAUAACGUAGGGAAACUUACGCUAAUACCGCAUACGACCUACGGGUGAAAGCAGGGGAUCUUCGGACCUUGCGCGAUUGAAUGAGCCGAUGUCGGAUUAGCUAGUUGGCGGGGUAAAGGCCCACCAAGGCGACGAUCCGUAGCUGGUCUGAGAGGAUGAUCAGCCGCACUGGAACUGAGACGCGGUCCAGACUCCUACGGGAGGCAGCAGUGGGGAAUAUUGGACAAUGGGCGCAAGCCUGAUCCAGCCAUACCGCGUGGGUGAAGAAGGCCUUCGGGUUGUAAAGCCCUUUUGUUGGGAAAGAAAAGCAGCAGGUUAAUACCCCGCUGUUCUGACGGUACCCAAAGAAUAAGCACCGGCUAACUUCGUG
rnacentral:rRNA from 1 species